GCAUCUUGAUGUCAUUCCCGAAGCCACAGAAAUUCAGGGCCUCGAACAAAGGUAACAUGUACACAUCAUAACUUUUAGCCCUGUAUUGCUUUUCUCCAAAUGUUCAUAAUAUCUAUUUGUAAUAUGUUUUUUGCAGCUUACAUGACAUGAGCAUUGUUGAGGAGGACUUGGAGGAAAAUGUUUUCACUGACCCAAUGAACAGUAGUAUUUCCUAAUUACAUGUAUUAUUUUUCCGUGAUAUUAUUUGAGAAAUUGUUUUUAUCUGAAAGUUGUCAUUAUGUAAAGAAUUGAUUGGGCAGAUGAAGCUUCAUCUUACUCCCUUGAAAGAGAUGAUGGACAGAAUGGUUUCAGCUCUGAUGAAGAGGAUCUUCCACCGAUUUCUAUACGGUGUGUUAUUUGUCAGUCUCAAUUUGCAAUUGUUUUGUGGUGUUUGUUUACUACAGAUUUUUGUGCCUCAAUAGAAUGGGUGGAGCACUGAAGAAAGCACACUCUAUCGAUGGACUUCCUUGCCUGCACAUGAAGACACUCCUGAUGAGCCUUCUCCCUGUGAUCAUGACCCUGUUUUCCCAGAACCACACAAUGUCCUUUGUGAAGAUGACGUACGGACAAGCUUACAUCAGAAAUAAAGCUAGUGGAGAUCUGCACAGAUGCUCAUGCCCAGAUUGGUGCACUUAUGAACCCAGACAAAGGCAAAUACAAGGCCCUUGGAAUUCAUCACUGUCUGGACAUAUGGCAUGGUGCGAAGAACCAUAGUCAACCAUUUUCUUGCAUUAUGGGUUGGCAUCCUUAACCAUGUCACAAUAUUCACACCUGGACUAUGGGAAGUUGCAAACACGGGCACCUUGAAUCGGAUCAAAUGCAGGGAAAGAUGUGGAUCCAGAGACUCCCAGUACCACAAAGCUUUAGUGGAUAUAGUUCUCGAUAAGAGGUGGCAGAAAGAUGUUCGCAACUAUCUGCGAUUCAGAUCGACUGCAGACCUAGAGUCAUUCCAGAAUCAUAUCCUGAUGUAUGCCAGCAAGCGCUUUGCUUUCAGCCCCCCAGUUUAUGAGGCAAGAGUUCUGCUUGCUGCUUUGUACUACAAUUUCCACCGGAACCGACCAACAAUGAAAACGUUGGACGGCAAAGAGACUUUCAGAAGAUUGUAUAAGAAGAACGGUAUGCCGUGAAAUCUGAAAGAACCUACGGAUACAUUUCUGAGUUGCAAAGAAGGAUUGUGAAGUACAGACUCACAAGUGGAGUGGGGAUGCCUAGAAGGAGGAGCCUUCUCCCAGGUGACCCCAGACAGCUUGGUUUGGUGCCCCCGUACCUGCACCAGCCACAUCAGACUUGUUGCAGAGACAAGUCAGAAGAGGUCUAGGACCGUUAUUCCAACCAGUAUCUGAUGUGGAAGGAUCCCCACAGGAGAUCACCUUGCAUGUGUCCUGGUACUUGUCAGGCAGGAUCACAAGGGAAAGAACUUCAGUUCACUGACAAAGUCAUAGCUUUUACUCUUCAAAAAGAGAAAUUAACAUUAAAUUCUGUUCCUACCCUCCUACAGUGGUUAUUUCAUGUUUUUCCAAUUUGUACACGUUUCAUCUUAUUCUGCUAAGUCCACUGUGACCAGCGCAUAUUAUUUUCAGUAGGUAGCCUAAAUUACAGUUUACAAUUUGAACAGUAAUGAUAAGUAAGGCUACAGCUACAGUCCCCUAUUAUGUAAAUAUAAAUAACUAAAAUAGGUAUUGGAAAUGUUAUGUAAGUUUGAAAUUCUAAACACAUGUUCAAAUGUAUAUAAUGAAAAUAAAAACAACAUGUGCUUCUA